GUGAACAUUCAACGCUGUCGGUGAGUUUCUGACUUAGACAAACCAUCGAGUGUUGAGUGUACCCUG
rnacentral:pre_miRNA from 1 species